GAUUGCCGUAUUGUUUUAUUGGUCGAACUAUAAUAGUUUGGUCACAGAAUAACAAAUUAUUAAUUAUUCUGUGGAUUGACAAUAAUGGACCAUGGGUAAUUCCAGGAAAAAGCGUGAAAACUAUACGUAAUCGGCAAAAACAACGUCGGAAACUUAUCAGUCCCGGCCUAGGUUUCCCUUCUGGUUAUUCUAUAGUAUUAACACAAACUAUAAUAUUUGUUAAUUUGUUUUGUCUUUUUUAUAAGAUUAAAAAUAUUACUUUUUUUUUAUAUUUAAUACUAACCCAUGUUAGGUAAGUUUUGAAAUUGCAGUUGAAUUGUACUUACUUAAAUAAUUAUAGAUAAAGAAAUAGAAGUGAAUUAAGGUAUGUUUUUCUAAAAAUCGAAUUUCUGAACCAUGGAUCCUAAUGUGCCAAGUCAUUGCCCUGGUACAGAGAGCACAUCUGCUGGUAAAGCUUCUGCGUGCCAAGGAUGUCCAAAUCAGAAUAUAUGUGCAUCUGGAGUUACUCAAACUCCUGAUCCUGCACUAGAGGUACUGAAGUAUCGAAUGUCCUCGAUAAAAAAUAAGAUCUUAGUGCUGUCUGGAAAAGGUGGAGUUGGUAAAAGCACUUUUACUUCUUUGCUGGCUCGAGUAAUAGCAAGUGAAAACGAACAACUAAAUGUCGGUGUGUUAGAUGUUGACAUUUGUGGACCUUCCCUUCCAUGUGUCUUUGGCGUUCAAGAUGAAAAAGUACAUCAAAGUGGAUCAGGAUUGUCACCAGUGUUUGUUGAAGAAAACUUAUCCAUUAUGUCUGUUGGAUUUUUGCUGGAAGAUAAAGACGAUGCAGUUAUUUGGAGAGGGCCAAAGAAAAAUGCCAUGAUUAAACAAUUUCUGACCGAAGUGGAUUGGGGUGACAUAUUAGAUUAUUUGAUUGUUGAUACGCCGCCAGGAACAUCUGACGAACAUCUGUCGCUAGCACAGUUCCUCAAAUGUACUGACAAUUUUUCGGCAAUUGUCGUAACUACACCUCAAGAAGUAUCGCUGUUAGAUGUUCGCAAAGAAUUAGAUUUUGCUAAAAAAGUUGGCCUACCCGUAUUGGGUGUUGUAGAAAACAUGUCGACUUUUGUUUGUCCUAAAUGCAAAGUUACGUCUGAAAUAUUUCCGAAAAACACUGGUGGUGCAGCUCAAAUGGCACUCGAUAUGGGAGUAUCGUUUCUUGGUUCAGUUCCGUUUGACCCAACAUUAGGUCGAUGCUGUGAUGAAGGGGUUAAUUUCCUACAGAACCAUACCGAAUCUCCAACUGUUAAAGCCAUACAAUUAAUUGUAGAAAAUAUAACAAGAAGUUUACAAAUAAUUUGAAUAAUUACUAAUAUCAAAGUGAUAAAUUAUGUUGGCGUUUAAAAUUUGUUUAAAUUAUCAAGCGAAUUUCUUUUCAUGGUCACCUAAGAGAAAGUGAAUUAGCAGUGAUGUUGUGUUAUUCAUUUGGUGUAUGGAGUAGAACACGGCCUGUUACUUUUUAAUCAAUAGUACAUACAAUGAA